UACGUAGGGUGCGAGCGUUGUCCGGAAUUAUUGGGCGUAAAGAGCUCGUAGGCGGUUUGUCGCGUCGACUGUGAAAACCCGAGGCUUAACCUCGGGCCUGCAGUCGAUACGGGCAGACUAGAGUUCGGUAGGGGAGACUGGAAUUCCUGGUGUAGCGGUGAAAUGCGCAGAUAUCAGGAGGAACACCGGUGGCGAAGGCGGUUCUCUGGGCCUGUACUGACGCUGAGGAACGAAAGCGUGGGGAGCGAACAGG
rnacentral:rRNA from 1 species